rnacentral:piRNA from 1 species
UCAAGCCAUUGAAUCUGAGGCAUCUGUU